rnacentral:rRNA from 1 species
UACGGGGGGGCAAGCGUUGUUCGGAAUUACUGGGCGUAAAGGGCUCGUAGGUGGCCAACUAAGUCAGACGUGAAAUCCCUCGGCUUAACCGGGGAACUGCGUCUGAUACUGGUUGGCUUGAGUUUGGGAGAGGGACGCGGAAUUCCAGGUGUAGCGGUGAAAUGCGUAGAUAUCUGGAGGAACACCGGUGGCGAAGGCGGUUCUCUGGGCCUGUACUGACGCUGAGGAGCGAAAGCGUGGGGAGCGAACAGG